CCUUUGACGUUAGCGGCGGACGGGUGAGUAACACUGGGUAACCUACCUAUAAGACUGGGAUAACUUCGGGAAACCGGAGCUAAUACCGGAUAAUAUUUCGAACCGCAUGGUUCGAUAGUGAAAGANGGUUUUGCUAUCACUUAUAGAUGGACCCGCGCCGUAUUAGCUAGUUGGUAAGGUAACGGCUUACCAAGGCGACGAUACGUAGCCGACCUGAGAGGGUGAUCGGCCACACUGGAACUGAGACACGGUCCAGACUCCUACGGGAGGCAGCAGGA
rnacentral:rRNA from 1 species